rnacentral:rRNA from 1 species
ACGAACGCUGGCGGCAUGCCUAACACAUGCAAGUCGAACGAGACCUUCGGGUCUAGUGGCGCACGGGUGCGUAACGCGUGGGAAUCUGCCCUUGGGUUCGGAAUAACUCAGAGAAAUUUGAGCUAAUACCGGAUGAUGACGUAAGUCCAAAGAUUUAUCGCCCAGGGAUGAGCCCGCGUAAGAUUAGCUUGUUGGUGAGGUAGAGGCUCACCAAGGCGACGAUCUUUAGCUGGUCUGAGAGGAUGAUCAGCCACACUGGGACUGAGACACGGCCCAGACUCCUACGGGAGGCAGCAGUGGGGAAUAUUGGACAAUGGGCGAAAGCCUGAUCCAGCAAUGCCGCGUGAGUGAUGAAGGCCUUAGGGUUGUAAAGCUCUUUUACCAGGGAUGAUAAUGACAGUACCUGGAGAAUAAGCUCCGGCUAACUCCGU